CUGGGGCGGGGGUCCUGGCCCUGGCUCCCCGCACACCCUGCUCUGGACUCUCCAGCCGAUCUGAAAGUCGAGACGGACCCAGCAGGACAGAGACUGUCUGGUUUGACCAAUGUCCAUGGCAGAGGGGAAUUGCUGGCACAUGAUGGCAUAUAUCACAUUGGUGGAUGUGCAGGUGAACGAGCCUCUGAUAGUGUGGCUGAUGUGAUUAGGCCCUGUGAUGGUGUCCCCUGAAUAGAUAUGUGGGCACAGAUUCUCACGGAGUCCCUGGGUGAUGCUCUGGAACUGCUCCCCAUGAAGCCAGGCAGGACUCUGGGGCAGUCUCCUCUCUGGGAGCAGCCUGUCUGCAGGACACACAGCUCACCCGGCUCCACCUUCCUGGGUCUGACCUCGGAGCAUUCAGCCUCCUCUGCCCCUCCGUGUGCUUCCCACAGCGAGUCCGCCCAGGCGGGGCUCCUGGGGAAGCCAGAGGGUCCUGCCCCCCAACUCUGCAGUCAGACAUGACUCUCAGCCAGCCAGUAAAACAGAGGUUUAUUAGACGACAGGAACAUGGUCUAACACAGAGCUUGCAGGUGCAGAGAACAGGAUCCCUCAGCUGGGUCCAUUUUGGGGGGGCAGUGAGCCAGACAACCACGUCUGCCCUUCACUCCAUGUCCCAGCCAGCCCCAAACUGAAACUGCCUCCAGGCCCCCCCUCCUCUGGGCUUUGUCCCUUUCCUGGGCCAGGAGGUCACUUGAUUCCUUUGUUCUCCCACCCUUUAGCUCUUAUCUUGCAGGGGGGAAGGGCCAGGCCAUCAGGUGCCAGGAAACAGGGUGUCGGCCAUUCUCUGUGUCCAGACCCCUGCACACACCUGCCCUCUAGGGCUCUGCAAUGAUCAUACACCCUUAUCCCACCCCCUAGAUACUUAAGAACUGCAUAGGGGAAACUGAGGCACCCCAACACUCUUCAGAGGAAACAUUAAGAACAGUCCCACUUCGUCACAUCUCUCCCCCCUUCGAGAUCAAACUGAGCGGGGUCACUUUAGCCAGUGACCUGGGGAAGUUCGAAGCCACCAACGUUCCCAUGGAUGCCCCAGCAUCUCUCCCAUUCCUUGGUCAGAGUUACACCAGAGCCUUCCAGUUUCACGCCCUCCCUUGGGUCGGGGGUGGUCGAUAGCACUUGCAGGCCGCAUGUGGGAAGGUUUAUGCGGCCCGUGCCCUUUGGUCACCCCAAAACCCCAGGGGGUCAAACGAAUUGGGUCUUCUCCCCAACAAGCUGGCCAAACACAGCCACUUGGUUAUCGGACUGUUUAACUUAACAGCUUUCACUUCAUAUGAGACCUUCUCAAAGCUAUCCACACUGGAUCUUUCAACAGGAAAGUCAGUGGAUCCAUUCGCAACAGAACAUUUCUGGCUGUUAGGAACUGAAAGUUUCUUGAUUAAAUCACUUUCACACCCUUCA